GACCUCAAAUCAGGUAGGACUACCCGCUGAACUUAAGCAUAUCAGUAAGCGGAGGAAAAGAAACCAACAGGGAUUCCCUUAGUAGUGGCGAGCGAACUGGGAUGA
rnacentral:rRNA from 1 species